rnacentral:ncRNA from 1 species
CGCGGGGGACGGCCUUCGCGCAACAUGUACAACAGCGGGACGGCCCGC